GACGAACGCUGGCGGCGUGCCUAAUACAUGCAAGUAGAACGCUGAAGAGAGGAGCUUGCUCUUCUUGGAUGAGUUGCGAACGGGUGAGUAACGCGUAGGUAACCUGCCUGGUAGCGGGGGAUAACUAUUGGAAACGAUAGCUAAUACCGCAUAAAAUUGAUUAUCGCAUGAUAAUCAAUUGAAAGGUGCAAAUGCAUCACUACCAGAUGGACCUGCGUUGUAUUAGCUAGUUGGUGGGGUAACGGCUCACCAAGGCGACGAUACAUAGCCGACCUGAGAGGGUGAUCGGCCACACUGGGACUGAGACACGGCCCAGACUCCUACGGGAGGCAGCAGUAGGGAAUCUUCGGCAAUGGACGGAAGUCUGACCGAGCAACGCCGCGUGAGUGAAGAAGGUUUUCGGAUCGUAAAGCUCUGUUGUAAGAGAAGAACGAGUGUGAGAGUGGAAAGUUCACACUGUGACGGUAUCUUACCAGAAAGGGACGGCUAACUACGUGCCAGCAGCCGCGGUAAUACGUAGGUCCCGAGCGUUGUCCGGAUUUAUUGGGCGUAAAGCGAGCGCAGGCGGUUAGAUAAGUCUGAAGUUAAAGGCUGUGGCUUAACCAUAGUACGCUUUGGAAACUGUUUAACUUGAGUGCAAGAGGGGAGAGUGGAAUUCCAUGUGUAGCGGUGAAAUGCGUAGAUAUAUGGAGGAACACCAGUGGCGAAAGCGGCUCUCUGGCUUGUAACUGACGCUGAGGCUCGAAAGCGUGGGGAGCAAACAGG
rnacentral:rRNA from 1 species